GCAGUGUGGUGGCCGCCCCACCAGGCUCUCUCAUUCUCCGGGGUCCUGACUGAGCCUGUCACUCACAAGCUCCGCCCCCAGACUGCACGAGGAGCUGCUGCUGCUGCAUGAAGCCUGGCAUUUUCUGGACCAUGUAAUUUCCUACAUGAAUAGUGAAUACCGACUGAAGACGCUGUCGACCAGGGAGAAUACAUUUUUUCAGGGGUUUCCUAUUGUGAAAAAAACACCAUAUAGCAGAGGAGUCACCUGAGCAGUACGGAGGCAAGGAUUGUACAAGAAGAUCUGGAGGGUAACCUGGCCGUAGGCACUGCCGACUGGAUAGUGGAGGAGCCAGUGUCACAUUAAAAAUCAGCAAGACCUGGGAGAACAUGAAGCAGGCUGCAUUGACGGAAAUAAGAAUGCUGUAUAACAUCAAUGCAUUGAAGCAUGAGUAUAAGCAUUUGUGAACACUGAUGCUAAAUUGGAUGUACUAUCAAGGACAUUUGGGCAUCGCUUUUGAGCCUCAGCACUUACGAUUUCCUGAAGAAUAAUAACUUUCUACCGUAUCCCAUUCACCAACUGUGACAUAUGGCCCUGCAGCUAUUCCAGGCAGUGAAAAUGCAUCUUAGUCGCAAACGGAACGACGACUAGUCGUGAUGGCUGUUAAUUAAACAAUAAAGAUAUGCCCCCGGGAUCGUAGCAGCAUACGGAAAGGAGCAGGGGUUUGGUUGUUGGAGCAGAGAAGGCCACAACACUGAAAACAAUGAACAUUCGAUGGCUGGGGCAGUGGGGUAUGACAUGGAAUAGCAUACCGGAAAAGGUGCACCUCGUAGAGAGGAGGGAAGGAGCCAGUGUCACAUUAAAAAUCAGCAAGACCUGGGAGAACAUGAAGCAGGCUGCAUUGACGGAAAUAAGAAUGCUGUAUAACAUCAAUGCAUUGAAGCAUGAGUACAAGCAUUUGUGAACACAGAUGCUAAAUUGGAUGUACUAUCAAGGAUAUUUGGGCAUCGCUUUUGAGCCUCAGCACUUACGAUUUCCUGAAGAAGAAUAAUAACUUUCUACCGUAUCCCAUGUAUCCCAUUCACCAACUGUGACAUAUGGCCCUGCAGCUAUUCCAGGCAGUGAAAAUGCAUCUUAGUCGCAAACGGAGCGACGAAUAGUCGUGAUGGCUGUUAAUUAAACAAUAAAGAUAUGCCCCCGGGAUCGUAGCAGCAUACGGAAAGGAGCAGGGGUUUGGUUGUUGGAGCAGAGAAGGCCACAACACUGAAAACAAUGAACAUUCGAUGGCUGGGGCAGUGGGGUAUGACAUGGAAUAGCAUACCGGAAAAGGUGCACCUCGUAGAGAGGAGGGAAGGAGCCAGUGUCACAUUAAAAAUCAGCAAGACCUGGGAGAACAUGAAGCAGGCUGCAUUGACGGAAAUAAGAAUGCUGUAUAACAUCAAUGCAUUGAAGCAUGAGUAUAAGCAUUUGUGAACACAGAUGCUAAAUUGGAUGUACUAUCAAGGAUAUUUGGGCAUCGCUUUUGAGCUUUUGAGCCUCAGCACUUACGAUUUCCUGAAGAAUAAUAAUAACUUUCUACCGUAUCCCAUUCACCAACUGUGACAUAUGGCCCUGCAGCUAUUCCAGGCAGUGAAAAUGCAUCUUAGUCGCAAACGGAGCGACGAAUAGUCGUGAUGGCUGUUAAUUAAACAAUAAAGAUAUGCCCCCGGGAUCGUAGCAGCAUACGGAAAGGAGCAGGGGUUUGGUUGUUGGAGCAGAGAAGGCCACAACACUGAAAACAAUGAACAUUCAAUGGCUGGGGCAGUGGGGUAUGACAUGGAAUAGCAUACUGGAAAAGGUGCACCUCGUAGAGAGGAGGGAAGGAGCCAGUGUCACAUUAAAAAUCAGCAAGACCUUGGAGAACAUGAAGCAGGCUGCAUUGACGGAAAUAAGAAUGCUGUAUAACAUCAAUGCAUUGAAGCAUGAGUAUAAGCAUUUGUGAACACAUAUGCUAAAUUGGAUGUACUAUCAAGGACAUUUGGGCAUCGCUUUUGAGCUUCUGGGCCUCAGCACUUACGAUUUCCUGAAGAAGAACAAUAACUUUCUACCGUAUCCCAUUCACCAACUGUGACAUAUGGCCCUGCAGCUAUUCCAGGCAGUGAAAAUGCAUCUUAGUCGCAAACGGAGCGACGAAUAGUCGCGAUGGCUGUUAAUUAAACAAUAAAGAUAUACCCCCAGGAUCGUAGCAGCAUACGGAAAGGAGCAGGGGUUUGGUUGUUGGAGCAGAGAAGGCCACAACACUGAAAACAAUGAACAUUCGAUGGCUGGGGCAGUGGGGUAUGAUAUGGAAUAGCAUACCGGAAAAGGUGCACCUCAUAGAGAGGAGGGAAGGAGCCAGUGUGGCGUUAAAAAUCAGCAAGACCUGGGAGAACAUGAAGCAGGCUGCAUUGACGGAAAUAAGAAUGCUGUAUAACAUCAGUGCAUUGAAGCAUGAGUAUAAGCAUUUGUGAACACAGAUGCUAAAUUGGAUGUACUAUCAAGGACAUUUGGGCAUCGCUUUUGAGCUUCUGGGCCUCAGCACUUACGAUUUCCUGAAGAAGAAUAAUAACUUUCUACCGUAUCCCAUUCACCAACUGUGACAUAUGGCCCUGCAGCUAUUCCAGGCAGUGAAAAUGCAUCUUAGUCGCAAACGGAGCGACGAAUAGUCGCGAUGGCUGUUAAUUAAACAAUAAAGAUAUGCCCCCGGGAUCGUAGCAGCAUACGGAAAGGAGCAGGGGUUUGGUUGUUGGAGCAGAGAAGGCCACAACACUGAAAACAAUGAACAUUCGAUGGCUGGGGCAGUGGGGUAUGACAUGGAAUAGCAUACCGGGAAAGGUGCACCUCGUAGAGAGGAGGUAUGGACCACCGAGUUUUAUCAUAGUUCACCUGGGUGGCAAUUACAUAGGGAAAAGGGAAUCCGUAGACCUCAUACACGGUAUUAAAGCGGACCUUGCACAGGUUCAAAGGAGUCAAACUUAUAUGGUACACUCGGUGCCACCAUAUGGGGGCCGGCCCGAAGCCAUGAGAAGGCAGCGUAGGUGAGUUCUCCAGUCCCUAUGCAUCCAGGGCAGAAAGGGUCCCCGGGCGGUUACAGUUGCUUGGAGGGGACCCUCUGCCCUGGGUCGGUUAAAGGUUACAGUUGCGAUGAGGGCUGGUGACCCGCAGUGCUAUAUAGGCCACCAAAGA